CAUCUCACACACUCACAUCACACCUCUGUUUCCUCAUGCAUUAAUUCUAACCUCAUUAAAAUAAACACAAUUGAUCCAGUUCCCACAUAUCUGUGGUUUACAAAGCUAGAUUCAAGUAAAAUGUAUACAACUUUGGUAAACGAUGCCACUCUAGUACAUUUUGGCAUUUAGUUUAUAGCUUAAGAACUAUGUUGGAAGCACUGGGCCCGUUUCAAGAAAACCAUAUUCAAGCAUUUAUACGCUCAGGCCAUCAGUUGCUUUACCGCAUUUCAGAAAUUCAAUCGCAUUUUACAAAUAAAUCUAGCAGCGGCAGCUUUCUGAAGGUAGCGAAGCAAAAGCUUUCUUUUCUGAGGUUAAAAACGAAACCUUAUAAAAAAAAGACGACAGCCCACAUUUCGGAGGAGGGAAAUGGCAGAGCGGUCCCACCACCAUCGUCUCACUCAGAGUGCCGUUGCUCACGCGCUCCUCCGGCUCUCCCGCUCGCGCGCGCCCCUCAGAAGAGGCACAGAUGGCGGCUCCCCGGAACGUGACGCAUCAGUCAUUACUGAUUGCAUAGCUGAGCUGAUCAUAACUUUAAUUGCCAUCAUGUGCAUCUCAAAAGUCACAGACAGUAAAGGGGAUCAGAAGCUGUCAUUACGCACCUUGCUGAUGAACCCGGGUUGUGCAGUUCCAGUCAUACUGUGGGACAUACCACCCCAGGAACAGGCACACUUCUCAGAGGCUGGUCCCCAUUAUCAGUAAUACCUUGUAAGUACAUGACUAGCCCUUGUAAUUGCAUUUGUUACUAUGCAUACGUCUUUGUAUUCACUGAUGGAAAUGCUCCAAGGUAUGCCAUGUUAUUUAAAUUACUCACGAUCAGUGAAACAUCGCUAAAACAUAAAUCACUAGUACUAAAACCAACUACCUAAAACAGAAUAUUACCGUAGCUCUUUGUGUAGCAAUCCAUUAAUUGAUGUACUGAUGAACAUCCCUCUCCUUCAUAUAGUUUUAGAUAAAAGGUUUUAGUUGGAUAUUCUGGUGUUGUUUAUAAUCCUUAUGAAAGCCUUUUCAAAGGAGAGUGUAGUUUAUAAAUGGAAAGUAAUUAACCAGCUGAAACAAAACUGCAUACAUUUAAUAUGAUUAUCUUAAUUGGAUUUGUAAUGUUAUGCUAGAUAUAUUUUGCACUACAUUUCAAAUUCUUGUAAGCUGUGUACCAUUGAAUUUCCCUUCUUUGUUCCUACAAGGCAAUCUUGUUCCUUCCUUUGAAACAAUUUUGUUGGCUUAUUCUCAGUGUAAUUUAAAUAAUCUUCCUAACAACUGAGGGAGCUAGAUGGUGACGGAACUCCUUCCCCCACGGCUUUUGUGAUUUCCCUGCUCCUUUUGUGCACAUGCAUGCACACGGACAGCAUCGAGCAGGAGCACCCAGCUUUCAGCUUGCUAGAUCAUCACUUUAAUCAGCUCUUGGCAUCGCAACAUCAUGGAAGCCAUUCCAACUAAAACCAGAGAAAGUAAAGCUUUCAUCUGCAGUUACCCGAUUUUUUGUCUUGUUUUUGUCAUCUAGCCAAGCUCUCUUUUGAAUCCACAGUUUGAAUUUUGAAUGAGCCCCAUCCCCAAUGAGGAACACAGAUUGUACAUUUUGGAUUAAACCAAAGGAGGCACACAGCCAUGGCUAAUGUGACAGGCAGUGGUACAGCUGAACGGAAUAUAAAAAUGCAUUAUUAAUGCGUGAUUGUGAGGCAUUAUAACACUGAGGGUCUGGGGCUGUAGUGCUUGAAAACUUUAUAUAUGUAUUCUCCAGCCAUCUCUCCUAACAUAAAUAUUUUAUUAAAAUACUUCAUUAUAUAAGAUUUUUGCAAGAAGAAAUGUACUACUGUAAAAUGUGUGUUCAUGGAAAAUUCAAACAGUAUCUGCCUCACAUUAACUCAAAGGUGAACUGUGUUUAAUUACAGAGGGGGAGAAAAACAAAAAUACAUCAAAAUGAAUAAAACAUUAAGCACUCCUGCAUAAAAUAAAACCAAAAUACGCAGAAUGCACAUUUACGCAUUCCUAAACAUAAUGUUUGAGAUGCACUUAAAAAGAAAAAAGCAUUUUCCCUUUCUUCUCUCCAUCUGUGGCUCUCAGGUUCCCUCCCACCUCUAUGUCGCCGGAGGACUGCAGCUGAAAUAUGGAAUAUGCCUGUGAUUCACUGUGAGCCAGUGAUUAUUUAACAUCCCACAGACUGCACAGUACCACAGGAGAGAGCUAGCACUGACCAAGAGGCACAUCCCUCACUUACAGCAACUAAUAGCAAGAAGAGGCACAUUAUCUCCAGCUAAAAGUGAACUAUUGAAUGCGUGAUUCAUGAACUAAAAGUGAAUCAUGCAUUCAAUGAAACACUGAGCAGAGGACGUAUUCAUGAUGUCAUCAUGGUAGUGUCUUAUUACCAUUCAGUAGAGAGAACGGUCAGUGCAUCUUCAGUGCAGGUUUGGUUGGGAGUCUGAGGGGCAAAUUUACAAUGUGUGCUUGCGUGAACCUGAAAAAGCCUUGUGCCUGUAUAGGUGGGAGUGGUCUAUUGUUCCCAGUCACCCUAUAGUUACCACCAUCUGGUUGUUUUUCAGGGGGAACAAAUGCAAAGUCUUUUGUUGACUUUAAUGAAUUCCAGCCAUUUAGUAAUUGUUCCGAAAGUGUCACAAUCUUUACAGUAAAUGAGCGGUGAAGAAAAUCUCUGUCUUCAGGGAAAAAAAGAGAAAAGAAUCUAAAUAAGAACACAUUUUUAUUAUGAUUACUACAUUUUCCAAAUUAUUCCAUUGGGCAUCUUGAGCCUUGUGCACGAGACCUGCUGAACAGUUUUGUGUUUAAUCACUGUUUUUGUUGUGACAUGUUGUCAUGGCAAUUUAACAAAUACUGUGACAUCUGCUGUCCAGAGAAGCAGAAAUACAGAAAGGAUCUUGGGCCGCUCGUGUGAAACCUCUAAACUCAAACAUUUACGCACAGUUAUGGCUGUGCCGUCUUCCAUUUGGAGCACGAAUAGCCCUCAGAGACCCAGAGCACGCUUACAGCAGGAAUGUGGUGUUUAACAUAAUGACACUGGGUUUGACAGGAAACAUACUUUUGCCAGUAAUGAUGAUAGUGCUGGAGAGGUUUCUAAUUUUUUGUCCAAAUGAUGGAUAACUAAAUAUUCCCAUGUGACCAUACAAUUUAAAUCAGCUUAUACAUUUUCUUCUGCCAUGUCCUUCAAAUAAAAUAAUUAUGCUUAAUAAAAUUACAGUACAUACAAUACAAAACAUAUGCACAAUGUGGCCAUUCAAAAAAGUAACUUCAACUCUUUAAGAAACUUGUUCUAGCCAACAAACUCAGCAAGUAGGCGUAUUUCACCUAAAGAUGGAGAUUCUUAAAAUGUAACACCUUUUAUAUUAAUGGGAAGCGUUAUUGGUUAAGCAUCUGGAUUACACUGUUUAAUGUGUGAUACAGACAGCUCCAUAUAAUUUCAUAAACGUGACAAUUUAUGCAUACAGUACAAAACAGUCCACUUUACCCACUAUAAAUGUAAGAUUUGUUCAAUUUAGUUAACAAUGAAUACAUACAGUAUAUGAUGACCAUUUAAAAUGUAAUUUAGCUUACCAUAGAGUUCAGUGACCACUGCAACAUUGGGCAUACAUAUAUAUGAAUAUGAAUGAUACUUCUUAAUUUUGUGUUUUUCCCCAGUUUUCCCACAGAAACAAUACAUUAUACAAGACCAUUUGAGUGUGAAAUGAAAAAGGAACUUGUCAGUAUUGUGAUUCGUGAAGGUUGUGCACAUAUCUGUAACGUUUCAGGGCCCCUUGAAAAAUUGGGUUUUUUUCUUUUUUGGUUAUUGUUUUGAGCUGCACUUUUCCUCUUUUUACCCUGAAUGGUGGUCCUCCUCCUCCUCUGCAUCGGCAGCUCCUGAGGGGAGCCAUCAUGGAUUAAAAGGAGUUUCAUGGUUUUGUCUCUUCAGCCAAACACAUUCCCAUUUUCCUCAGUUCAUAGAAUUUUAGGCUACAUAACUGUGUCAUUAUUGAAUAGGGAGAAUGUAUGAGGAGGUAGUUUUGGCUCACAUUUGGGUGUUUUGGAUUCUGGAUUUCCUCAUACAGUGCCUGGGUCACAUGUUCAUUUUGGCUUGAGGGGUGCUGCGAUUUUCCAUUAUGGGAAGAGUACGUUUGGCCUGGAUCUAUUCUAUGGCCCUAUGGUUUAAUUUGGAAUUAAGAAUAGAAUGCAACUGUGACUUCACUUCAGAAGAUGAUACUGGGUCAUAUUUUAGAAGUAUCUUCAUGUUUCAGACAAUAACCUCUUUAGCAGAUAAAGAUGAUAUCUUUAGAGGGUGUUAUGUUUACAUCUUUUUAUUGUAUCUUUUGGCAGUUUUCUAUUAUUUUUUUUAAACCAACAUUAGAAUCCUGUGAAAAAUGAUCAGGGUCUUCAAAAGUUUAAUUAGAGAAUGCCUUUGAAAAAAACAUGUGCAAAUAAAAUCAAUAAGAUACAUUUCAAAUAUUAAUAAUACACCCAAACCAGUGACUCAUAGCCAAUUGUUUGGUCUUUUUUGAUACUAUUAGAACCACAUUUAAUUUAUUCUUCUCUGAAUGAAAUCUAUUUGGCUGUCGAGCGAUAAGGUUUUCCUAGGGACAACUAAAGAAAUUAAAAUUAUUUUCAUUUGAAUUGAAUUUUCACUAAGUUCACUUGAAUAUCAUCAAAGUAUUCAUUCAGUAAAUUCUUUAUCUACUGUAACAUUUAUAUCUACUCUAACACUUUGGUUAUUUGGUCAAAAUUAAAUCAUCCUGAUGCAGUGAAAUUGAGAGUAUCCUAUUUUUAAAUGAGGCUAUAGUACUUUCAGUAAGGAGUCCAAUUAUUAAAUGAUUUUAAUUUUUUAAAUUGCUGUUUUGAAAUGAUUUUCCAAAUUAAAAACUCCUCAUUCCGAAAUGAGGUUUGAUUCCCUGAAGGUAACUUUCAGAGGGGGCAUAGUAAAGUGUUUAUUCCACAGUGUUUACUGCUAUUAGUGUUGUUGCUGCGUGUCUGAAUUUAAUUAUGCCAUCUCUAAGUUAAUUGUGCAGCCACUGAUAUAAAACGGACAAUAUAACACAUGACCUAAAAUAAUCUAUCAUAGUAUUUUAAACUAACUCCUAAUGAAGUGCUUUAUUGAUGUGGGUGUCUAAUAUUUAAUUUUGUAGUAAUUAUAUACGCACUCAUAUUGGGUUUACAGAUGAUUCCUCAGUGCAGUGUGGUCUGUAGAUAUUGUACACUGUUGUGCACAUCCAGACAGACAGGGGCAAACCUGAGAUGAGCGGUAAUGCAUCUGAUGUUGGACUCGGGUCUGAAGGGUCUGGUCAUGCUCGCUGCAGCAGAUGCUUUCUACAGAACACAUAGGGGUGCAUGCAGUGCAGGAACACCGGGAAUGAGACUACAUUUUAUCAUCUGUGUGUUGGGGCAAGUAGAAAACUUGGAUCCAGGCAGCGAGGGAAAAUUUCAGAAUAGCUCACUCCUUAUAUGGUCACUUUGAGCUGGAUAAAAGGGUUACUUAGUUAUAUUAAUUUUACUCCAUUCCAACAGGUAUACAUACUGUAGAAGAAGCGACCACUUCUGAAACCUUUCCCCAAAUGACAGCAUGUGACCACAUCCAUGUAGCGCACUAGACUGUUUUUUAUAAUCUAUACUGUAUAUGAAUCUAAUGUAUGACUGGGAAUCUAUCCGCACAUUUGGAAAAGAAAUUCAUCUGAGGGAGAAAAGAAACUUCUGAGUGUAUUUUUGGUUCGUUUGAAGGUCUCAUUCAGGAACUGCAGCAAGGUGCCUUCCUCUGAACUGUUCCAUUGUGUUCGCUUCCUCUUCCUCCUGAGGUACAAUUACUCGGCAGCUCUGUUCCGGCGGCCUGGAGAGGAGGGAGCUCACUUCUCCCAGCAGUUUGCCCCGGAUUGCACCACUUCCCAGCAGACUGCCUGCAGAAACUGUCGACUGUCUGUACUUUUACAAAACAACAAAACAAGAGACCAACAUUCUGACAGGCUUCCAUUCCGAGCUCUCUUAGGAAUUGAACUGUAUUGCAAUGCUAUUUAAUAGUUUAUCUGUUACUGAGCACAAUGGCGCAUAGCAUGCUCAAGACAGUGGCAGUAAAAAUGAGUUAGACACCAUGUAAAAAAAGAAAUUUGUACAUCUUACAUUUAUUUAAAAAAAUAAAUAAAUAAAAGGCCUAUCCCCCAUUCAUAUUGACCAAACAUGGUAACAUGAUUUGAGGUUUUUUCAUGCAUUAUUAUUUUUGCAUUAUUUUCUUAAUGACAGUUUUCACUGGAAAGUAAAUAAAAAUAAAGGCUGGUCUCUGCAGUCCCGUAUGUUUCCAGCUAUUUUUAGAUUUCAUAAUCUGGCAUAAUUUUAAAUAAAUCUGUUAUGACUUAAA